GCCGCCUAAGUGCUUUCGCCUUCGCCAGGCUUGAGAGUAAAUGCUGCUUUUAUCCUUCCUUGGAUGUCUGAGAUCCCCCCUUCAUAAUCGAUACUUGAAUCUUGCCGUUGUGUUCUUUGUGUUUAUUUUGAAUGUUGGCUGCAGUUUUUAAAAUUUUAUUAUUAGACAGUGGAUUUAUAUAAUAAACCUUUAUUAGUUUUAAGUGCAUUGUGUUUUGAUUGAUUGAAUCUUUAAUUAUGGCGGUGUCUAUGAUGAUAAAUUUGAAGGCUUGUUUCUCAAGACAUUCGCAGUGGCCGACUAAGAGCUUUCGCCUUCGCCAGGCUUGAGAGUUUAUGCUGCUUUUAUCCUUCCUUGGAUGUCUGAGACACCACCUUUUCAACUUACCAUUUUCAAAAAUUUGAACUUUUGCCUUUUCAACCAAGUUCUUUGUGUUUAUUUUCUCAAAACAUUUGCAGUGGCCGCCUAAGUGCUUUCGCCUUCGCCAGGCUUGAGAGUAAAUGCUGCUUUUAUCCUUCCUUGGAUGUCUGAGAUCCCCCCUUCAUAAUCGAUACUUGAAUCUUGCCGUUGUGUUCUUUGUGUUUAUUUUGAAUGUUGGCUGCAGUUUUUAAAAUUUUAUUAUUAGACAGUGGAUUUAUAUAAUAAACCUUUAUUAGUUUUAAGUGCAUUGUGUUUUGAUUGAUUGAAUCUUUAAUUAUGGCGGUGUCUAUGAUGAUAAAUUUGAAGGCUUGUUUCUCAAGACAUUCGCAGUGGCCGACUAAGAGCUUUCGCCUUCGCCAGGCUUGAGAGUUUAUGCUGCUUUUAUCCUUCCUUGGAUGUCUGAGACACCACCUUUUCAACUUACCAUUUUCAAAAAUUUGAACUUUUGCCUUUUCAACCAAGUGAUUUUUGGAUAUUUUUGUUAUAUUGUUUGGUGCUUGUUCUUUUGAAACUAUAAUUUUUGAAGCCAAAUUUGGAAUAUUUAUGUUUGAUGUGGCUAAAGGUCAUAGCUUUUUUGAACAUUAUGGUCUUUGUUUUAUGAUAUUAGGGGAUUUGGAACAAUAAUGUAUACGGUGGCCCAUACGAGUUUUGUGAAAUUGUUUUUAUGCAAAUAGAGCAGAAUGUACAGAGAAUUUAUACAAUUAGCCUAACUAGUUUGUAGUUUCAUUGUACUUUGAUUUAUUUUGUUGAAUCUUAAUCUUAUGGUGUCUAUGAUGAUAAAUUUUAAGGCUUGUUUCUCAAAACAUUCGCAGUGGCCGCCUAAGUGCUUUCGCCUUCGCCUGGCUUGAGAGUUUAUGCUGCUUUUAUCCUUCCUUGGAUGUCUGAGACACUACAUUUUCGUCUUACAAGUAUUACAUUUUGUAACUUUUGCUUUUUAAUCUACCAUUUUGGUGUCAAAUUUGGAAUUUAAAUGUUAUUUGUGGCUAAGGAUUAUAGCUUUUUGGAAACAUUAUGAUUUUUGUUUUAUAAAUCAGGGGAUUUGGGACUAGAAUGUCUGCCCCUGAAGCAAAUGUAAAGUUGCUUUAGGGAUGAACAAGUCCCUGAUAAUUGAACUCCAUUCUUCACUUUGUCAGCAUUGUUUUAUUUUAUGCUUUGCUGAUCAUUAUCAGAUGAUACACUUAUUUUUGGAUUAAUUUGUUAAGUUGCUUUGUUUUAUUUCUUUAUCUUUUUGCCUAUGAUGAUACCUUUUAAGGCUUGUUUCUCAAAACAUUCGCAGUGGCCGCCUAAGUGCUUUCGCCUACGCCAGGCUUUGAGAGUGCAUGCUGCUUUUAUCCUUCCUUGGAUGUCUGAGGCUUUUUCAGUACUAUGUUCCAUUUUUUCCCUUUUUCUCUUUUUGCCUACUAUUUAUAAAUUAUGUUAAAGAUACUGUCUAUUAUGUUACUAUAUGAAGUAGUUCUUACAUGUCAAAUGGUGAUUCCUGUUAUUAGUUCCACUCAAGAUUUUAAUCUUUAGCAUUCGUUUUGAUUUUAACUUGAUAAUGAACACUUGAUUUUUGUGGUACUUUUAUAUGGUUUUGUUUAUUGUAAUUGCAGUUGUUGAUGGUUAUCUCUAGUUUUAGAUGCUUAAAUCAUUAGCUUUUCAAUCUCAUCAUUCUGUCGAAAUUCAUAAUUAGGAAUCCCUAGGAGCAAUUUAUGAUAUUGUUCUUGCUUAAUUAUGAUUAAGGGAGACUAAUAAUAAUGUCGAAAUUCCUUUACUUCCUUUUAAUGCUAACAUGAUAUUAUUAUGUUUAAAGUUGAUUGUAGGUAAGCUUUCAAGAAUACUUGGUCUAUGCUGGUUUUGUAGGGCUAUGAUUAAAAAGAGAGAGGAUAGAGUGAAGUUCUCAUUUUUGAAUGGGCUUGGUAGAUGAAGAUGCAUAAUUAAAUGGUUUAUGAUAUAGUUGCCCCUUUCUUUGAUUCAGGGAAAGCUGUUGGCAGCUUUAUCAUUAACCAUUGUUGUGUAUCUUUGUUAUAACCUGUUGUUCCUUUCAAUAUGAGUUUUCUUCACAGUGAUGGUUCUUCCAUAAAUACACUUGAUAUGAGCCCUCUCAAUUGAACCCAAAUCAUGUACAGUUUGUGAUAUAAUGAACACAGUCCUUUAAAUUUAAUAAUGCUUUCCAUAUAGAUUAUUCUGCCCAUCAUUCGCCCUUAAUUCUUAUCAAAAGCUAAAUAGAAUUUAGAUGCUUCAUUUAAAGGCUGGCAGGUAUAUAAGAUCAUAGAAUUGGCAGAACUUAAGUGAUGGGUUGAACUAAAUUGUAUUUUUGCAAUAGUAAUUUUCCAUCCAGUCAUGUUUAAUGCACUAAGAGGGCUAUGACUACGAAGAUAGGAUAGAGUGAAAUUUCUCAUUUUUUCAUGGCUCGGUAGAUGAAGAUGCAAAAUUCAAUUUUGCCUAGAUAAAAUUUAUUGGUGAUACAUAAUUUGCCUAGAUAGGAUAGGAGAAACUACAUUAUGAAACAAAUUGGUGAUACAUAAUUUGAACCAAAAAAAUAUCGUUUUCUGAGUCUCCUUAGUUCAUUCAUACAUAAUUUAAACCAAAAAUAACUUGAAACUAUUUUCUUUUCCUUAUUGAGUCUUCUUAGUUCAUUCAUUAUUUUUUGAGACUCUUUUAGAGUAAGGUUAAGAAUAUCCUGCAAUUUAUUAUAUCUAUCACAGUUAUAAGGUCUUACCUGGCAUGUUUCACUUCGUUCCAUGAAAUAAUUUUCAUCAUCAUCUUUGCAUUUGUCAUCUAAAUCAUGUUCAUUGGUCCAAUAGUCCGAGAGUUUGUUCAUGUCGUUUUUUAGGAUUGUCAUGAAGCAUAGAUUUGCUAUCUCCUUGUGUUCCGAAUUGUCUUUGUCACUCUGGCUUCCAAAAGAUUUGUUUUUAUUAAAUUCUCUAGAAACCCUUUCUUUUAAGAUUUGGGCAUUCAGCUUGAACAUGCCUAUAUCUUCUACACUUAUAAUACAUUCCAUCAUUCUUGUCUUAUUCAUUAUAUUGCCUGAUUUGCUUGGGUGGCAUCUUGCCAUGUUUUUGUAUCUUCUCAUUAAACCAUCCAUGUUAUGGCAAUCUCUUCUUCAAGAGCUUCAGGGUCGUCAUCAGUAUCAUUUUCUAUCCUUUUAAUUGUAGCUUUGAAAGUGAUUGUUUUCUUCUUUCCUUACUGGCUUGUUUUCUUAAGGUGAGUUUUCUCGAAUGCUAUAAGAUCUCCUUGAAGCUCAUCAUAUGAAAGUUUAUUUAGAUCUUGUGAUUCAAAUGCAACUAUUUUUGUCUACCAAGUGGUAGGUAGACUUUUCAGAAUUUUUCGAACUUGAUCAUCACUUGAGUAUGGUUUAUCAAAAGCUUUUAGAUUGCUAAUGAUUUUGCUGAACAUUGCAAACAUUUCUUCAAUGGAUUCUCCUUCUUUCAUCUAGAAGAGUUCAUAGUCAUGAAGUUGAUCUGAGUUUCUUGCACUUUGCUAGUUCCUUCAUAAGUAACUUUCAGUUUAUCCCAUAUUUCUUUUGCUGUAUCACAACUUGAGUUUAUCUCAUUCAUCAUCUCCACUUAUAGCAUUAUAGAGAAAUAAAGACACUAUAAUUUUAUACUGAUUCGGAUUCAAUGUGAAUCAUACUCCAGUCCCCUUGGGUUGCAAGAGUGUUCUCUUUCAGUGAUCGACGUAUUCAAUGUGAAUCCUACUCCAGCCCCCUUGGGUUGCAAGUGUGUUCUCUUUCAGUGAUCGACGUUUCUUGAGUAUAGAAUGAUUGAUGUAGCUUUACACCAACAACUUAAUCUCUAUGUCUCUUUUCUCUUCUUGAUACAAGAUCGGUGUUUAUCUCUUUUUUUUCUCUCACUAAUUACACAACAGAUCUAUAAGAAUUACAAUGCUUGUUUGGAGUAGAACAAAAGGAGUGAAAAUGUUUGUUCAAAGUAUGUUCUCUUCAAGUCCAAAACAUAUGUACAUAUACAUUUCAUGA